rnacentral:tRNA from 1 species
GGAAGUGGGGCUUAGUGGUAGAGUGCUUGCCUCACAUGCAUGAGGUCCUGGGUUCGAUUCCUCAGUGCCA